GUGGUGGUGGUGGUGAUGGUGGUGUUGUUGCUGAUGGUGGUGAUGGUGGUGUUGCUGGUGUUGCUGGUGGUGGUGGUGAUGGUGAUGGUGGUGGUGUGAUGGUGGUGCGAUGGUGAUGGUGGUGGUGAUGGUGGUGAUGGUGGCAGUGGUGAUGGUGGUGAUGGUGGUGGUGAUGGUGGUGAUGGUGGCAGUGGUGGUGG
rnacentral:lncRNA from 1 species